UCCGUUGUGGUCUAGUGGCUAGGAUUUGUCGCUCUCAUUCACCUCUAGUGAUAUAGUUCCGACAAGGCCGGGGUUCGAUUCCCCGCAACGGAA